AUGUUUGGAGGUUUUGAGUUGGAAAGGGUGUCAUUCAGAGAUCAAGUUGGCUUCUGGGUCUCAGUUGCUUGCAUGGAAUGGCGACCCGAGGCUGAUCGCUCUGUCAGGCGCACAAUCUUGUGUUUAACUGCAACGACCAAGCUAUCCAGAUAUCAUCAAAAAAAGGGUCAGUUCUUAGGGAAUAGCUGGAUGUCAAAGCCAUCCGGGAAGCCGAGGCCCGGAGUCCGGACUAUGUUUCCUCCUUUGACCGUCUUCCAUCUGAACAUGAGAAAGAUACAGUUAUUCAGAUUUUGCCUGUUCACAGCUUAUAAGGUUGUGAAUGAAUGUUGCCAUCAAGACCUUGGUGAGAUCGGUUCCGACGCAGAACCGAAGCCCGCCUCCGAACGCCAUGAAAUGCUUGGUUCCACCGGUGAUUUCAGUGCGCCGCACUUUAAGUAG
rnacentral:rRNA from 1 species